rnacentral:rRNA from 1 species
AACGCGAAGAACCUUACCCUCCUCUUACAUGUACGGAAUCCUUAAGAGAUAGAGGAGUGCUCGAAAGAGAGCCGUAACACAGGUGCUGCAUGGCUGUCGUCAGCUCGUGUCGUGAGAUGUUGGGUUAAGUCCCGCACAACCCUCAUCCCUUGCCUUAGUUGUUAAGAAAGGGCACUCUAAUGGGACUGCCGGGGACAAACGGGAGGAAGGUGGGGAUGACGUCAAGUCCUUAUGGCCCUUAUACGUGGGGCUACACACGUCAUACAAUGGCCGGUACAGGGGGUUGCCAACCCGGGAGGGGAAAGUUUCCCAAAAACCCGGUCCAAUUCGGAAUGGCGUUUGCCAAUUGCCUCCCGGAAGUGGAAAUCCAAGUUAA